AAUCCGUGAUGCGGACAUUUCUAAACCAACAUUUUAAAAUGUUCCCAAGCCUCAUAGAAACUUUCUCCUUCCAUCUAUCUGAAGACAACAAUAUCUCUUUUGAUCU
rfam:Gossypium hirsutum cultivar TM-1 chromosome 15, whole genome shotgun sequence